AUACGGGGGGUGCAAGCGUUAUUCGGAAUCACUGGGCGUAAAGGGCGCGCAGGCGGUUUGGUAAGUCAGAUGUGAAAGCCCGGGGCUCAACCCCGGAAGUGCAUUUGAUACUGCCUGACUUGAGUAUGGGAGAGGGAAGUGGAAUUCCUGGUGUAGAGGUGAAAUUCGUAGAUAUCAGGAGGAACACCGGUGGCGAAGGCGGCUACCUGGACCGAUACUGACGCUGAGGUACGAAAGCGUGGGGAGCAAACAGGAGUAGAAACCCUAGUAGUCC
rnacentral:rRNA from 1 species